AAAAAAUAGUAUGCAUAAGAAAAUUCUGAAUUUGCAUUAUUCUGUUAGGAUUGUUCAUAACGUGUUUUUGUUUGGUUUAUUAAGUGCAAAGUUGGUGUACAUAAGCAUUGUUUAUGUGUUAGAUGUAAUGUUAUUUUGUUAGGAUAAACUGCAUCGUAACUUUGGACCUAAUUUCAGGCUGUCACUAAAAUUCAGUUUGUUCGAAUUUCAUCAUUGAACUUCUAUUUUAUACACAAUUUGGUCAUGAUAAACAUUUUUUUGGUUUACUUAAUAAAAAACUAUACCUAAAGCUUGAAGAGAGUGUGCAUCUGGCAGACUGAUGCAGGGUAAUUUAAUGAAUAUGAACUUGUUUAUAGAAUCUCAAAAU
rnacentral:misc_RNA from 1 species